GCUUUCGUGGUGUAGUGGUCAGCACGCUCGACGCGUAAGCAACAGAUCCCUGGUUCGAUUCCCGGGUGAAGGCG
rnacentral:tRNA from 1 species